UUUUGAUGGUCGAAUACAUAGUGAAAUUGGAAGAUUGAGUAAUCUGCAGUUCUUGUAUCUCAGAUAUAACCAUUUCACAGGGAUAAUUCCACAAGAAAUCGGAAAUCUUGUUAAUUUGAUGGAAUUAGACAUGGGGGGAAACCAGAUUACCGACUCUAUCCCGAUCUCCAUAUUCAAUAUCUCAUUGCUGCAAUCAUUGAUACUGUGGGGCAACAAUCUUAGUGGAUUCUUACCAAGGGAGAUUGGCAACUUAACCAAGAUGCAAUUUUUAUAUCUUAACGACAAUAGGCUAACUAGUGAAAUACCCAACGAGAUAAGCAAUCUCGUUGAGUUGGAGGUAUUUGAUGUUGGGUUUAAUAGUUUUAGUGGUUCACUUCCAAUGGAGAUAUUCAACAUAUCACGACUGAGAACAAUUCAACUUUCAGCCAACAUCUAUCAGGAACUCUACCACCAAACAUAGGUUCUACCUUACCCAACAUUGAACAGCUUUAUAUGGGUCGCUUAACCAAUCUUGUUGGAACUAUUCCUCAUUCUAUCUCCAAUUGUUCAAAGCUUCCUGAUCUAGAGCUUUCACAAAACAAACUCAGUGGCUUAAUACCCCAAUUCUCUUGGAUAUUUGACUCAUCUAAACUUCCUAAACUUGCAGAGAAACAAUUUAAAUAGUGAUUCAUUGUUAAGCCUCCUCACUUCCUUAACCAAUUGCAGAAAUUUAACAUCUCUUUAUCUAACUUUGAACCCUCUAAAUGGCAUGCUUCUGGUCUCCGUAGGGAACUUCUCCAAAUCUCUUGUAAAGUUUUAUGCCGCUGCUUGCAAGAUUAACGGCCAGAUUCCAAAUGAAGUUGGAAACUUAAGCAGCUUAUUUGACCUUGACCUUUCUGAUAAUAACUUGAUUGGAUCAAUUCCUAUAUCAACUCAUAACUUGAGAAACCUUCAACGCUUGUACUUGAACAUCAACAAACUUACAGGAUUUAUUGGAGAUCAUAUAUGUAAAUUGCAGCAUU